AUUGAACGCUGGCGGCAGGCUUAACACAUGCAAGUCGAGCGAGCGGCGGACGGGUGAGUAAUGUCUGGGAAACUGCCUGAUGGAGGGGGAUAACUACUGGAAACGGUAGCUAAUACCGCAUACCAUCAGAUGUGCCCAGAUGGGAUUAGUUAGUAGGUGGGGUAAUGGCUCACCGAGGCGACGACCCCUAGCUGGUCUGAGCGGAUGACCAGCCAAACUGGAACGGAGACACGGUCCAGACCCCUGCGGGAGGAAGCAGUGGGGAAUAUUGCACAAGGGGCGCAAGCCUGAUGCAGCCAUGCGGGGUGUAUGAAGAAGGCCUUCGGGUUGUAAAGUACUUUCAGCGAGGAGGCGUUACUCGCAGAAGAAGCACCGGCUAACUCCGUGCCAGCAGCCGCGGUAAUAC
rnacentral:rRNA from 1 species